ACGUAGGAGGCAAACGUUAUCCGGAUUUACUGGGCGUAAAGCGCGUGUAGGUGGUUCUGUAAGUCUGGCGUUCCCUCUCCUGGCUCAACUGGGAGAGGCCGUUCUAAACUGCAGAGCUAGAGGAUGGUAGAGGGAGGUGGAAUUCCGGGUGUAGCGGUGGAAUGCGCAGAUAUCCGGAGGAACACCAGUGGCGAAAGCGGCCUCCGGGACCAUUCCUGACACUCAGACGCGAAAGCUAGGGUAGCAAACGG
rnacentral:rRNA from 1 species